ensembl:lncRNA
CUGACUCGGACCAACCCACACUGAUUUGUUGAGUACUAUUCCGUACUUCUGUUUUAGUGUAGAAGAAGAAAACAUGACUGACACUGAGAGAAAACGGGAGGGGAUUAAAGAAACGGGCACUUUUCAAAAGCGGCCACGCCCUGAAGAAUUUCCACAAAGUCAUCCAUCUUCUUCUGCUUAUCUGGGGUCGGGUCACGGGGCAGCAGUCAAAGCAGGGACUCCCAGACAUCCAUCACCCCAGACACAUCCUCCAGCCCCUCCGGUGGCACCCCAAGGCGUUCCCAGGUCAGCCGAGAGACAUAGUCCCUCCAGCAUGUUGGGAUAUGCCUGGAACACCUCCCCAGGGGAGUCCAGGAGGCAGACAGAUGCCCGAGCC